rnacentral:rRNA from 1 species
GAUGAACGCUGGCGGCGUGCCUAAUACAUGCAAGUCGAGCGAACAGACGAGGAGCUUGCUCCUCUGACGUUAGCGGCGGACGGGUGAGUAACACGUGGAUAACCUACCUAUAAGACUGGGAUAACUUCGGGAAACCGGAGCUAAUACCGGAUAAUAUAUUGAACCGCAUGGUUCAAUAGUGAAAGACGGUUUUGCUGUCACUUAUAGAUGGAUCCGCGCCGCAUUAGCUAGUUGGUAAGGUAACGGCUUACCAAGGCGACGAUGCGUAGCCGACCUGAGCGGGUGAUCGGCCACACGGGAACUGAGACACGGUCCAGACUCCUACGGGAGGCAGCAGUAGGGAAUCUUCCGCAAUGGGCGAAAGCCUGACGGAGCAACGCCGCGUGAGUGAUGAAGGUCUUCGGAUCGUAAAACUCUGUUAUUAGGGAAGAACAAAUGUGUAAGUAACUAUGCACGUCUUGACGGUACCUAAUCAGAAAGCCACGGCUAACUACGUG